AGAAUCCCUGGCCCAAACCCCAGCUGGAUUAGACACAAGUGUUUCCCCCUUCACACAAACCCGUGGCUUGUCUUGGAAAAAGAUGGAAAUAUCUCCCUGCAGCAACCUCUCCAAACCCGCAGAAACAAGUGGCUCGUGUUGAGAGCAACAUCCCUGUGUUUUCCCAGGAAGCUUUUCUGGGCAAAGGGACUGUGACAUUUUGCAGAAGUUCUGCAGUUUCUGGUGCCCAGGAUGGGAAGGGAUGGCAAAACUCGAGAGCUGUCCUUCAAGUGGCCUUGCCUGAGCAAAGUGAACAGCUUGAGUGCCUAUCAUUAGCAGGCAGAACACCUCUGCAGGAGGCACACGGCUUGAAACCCUGAGAAUUCUGCAUGAUUACAGCUAAGCAACUCCUCAAAAAUCAAGCAGAAAGUUUUCCUGAGGGAGUUUAUCUAGGGGAAAAAAAAAA